AGUGAAGCGGCAACAGCUCAAAUUUGAAAUCUGGCCCUUGUGGUCCGAGUUGUAAUUUGUAGAGGAUGCUUUUGGUGAGGUACCUUCCGAGUUCCCUGGAACGGGACGCCAUAGAGGGUGAGAGCCCCGUCUGGUUGGAUACCGAGCCUCUGUAAAGCUCCUUCGACGAGUCGAGUAGUUUGGGAAUGCUGCUCUAAAUGGGAGGUAUAUGUCUUCUAAAGCUAAAUAUUGGCCAGAGACCGAUAGCGCACAAGUAGAGUGAUCGAAAGAUGAAAAGCACUUUGAAAAGAGGGUUAAAUAGUACGUGAAAUUGUUGAAAGGGAAGCGCUUGUGACCAGACUUGGGCUUGGUUAAUCAUCCAGGGUUCUCCCUGGUGCACUUGGCCAGCCCAGGCCAGCAUCAGUUUGUCGCGGGGGAUAAAGGCGUCGGGAAUGUGGCUCCCCCGGGAGUGUUAUAGCCCUUCGUGUAAUACCCUGCUUUAGACUGAGGUUCGCGCAUCUGCAAGGAUGCUGGCGUAAUGGUCAUCAGCGACCCGUCUUGAAACACGGACCAAGGAGUCGUCUUCGUAUGCGAGUGUUCGGGUGUCAAACCCCUACGCGUAAUGAAAGUGAACGCAGGUGAGAGCUUCGGCGCAUCAUCGACCGAUCCUGAUGUUCUCGGAUGGAUUUGAGUAAGAGCAUACGGGGCCGGACCCGAAAGAAGGUGAACUAUGCCUGUGUAGGGUGAAGCCAGAGGAAACUCUGGUGGAGGCUCGCAGCGGUUCUGACGUGCAAAUCGAUCGUCAAACAUGGGCAUGGGGGCGAAAGACUA
rnacentral:rRNA from 1 species